UACGUAGGUGGCAAGCGUUGUCCGGAUUUACUGGGCGUAAAGAGCGCGCAGGCGGUUGGAUAAGUCGAAUGUGAAAGCCCCCGGCUUAACUGGGGAGGGUCAUUCGAUACUGUCCAACUUGAAGGCAGGAGAGGGCAGCAGAAUUCCCGGUGUAGUGGUGAAAUGCGUAGAUAUCGGGAGGAAUACCAGUGGCGAAGGCGGCUGCCUGGCCUGUUCUUGACGCUGAGGCGCGAAAGCUGGGGGAGCAAACGGG
rnacentral:rRNA from 2 species